GCCACAGGUAGGCUGUCCGUGUGGAGUACAAUGGAGGGAACAGGAAGAGUAAGAAGAGUGAGAAUUAGAGGAGGCCUAGGAAGAGGACCUAGCAAGCCUGGGCCU